UACGAGAGGGCCGCUACCACGCGAGUGGAUGCCAAUCCCCAAAACCUCUCUCAGUUCGGACUGGAGUCUGCAACCCGACUCCACGAAGCUGGAUUCGCUAGUAAUCGCGCAUCAGCCACGGCGCGGUGAAUACGUUCCCGGGCCUUGUACACACCGCCCGUCAAGCCAUGGGAGCCGGGGGUACCUGAAGUGCGUAACCGCGAGGAGCGCCCUAGGGUAAAACUGGUGACUGGGGCUAAGUCGUAACAAGGUAAC
rnacentral:rRNA from 1 species